ACAGCAGCCGCCGCGGUAAUACGUAGGUGGCAAGCGAUGUCCGGAAUUAUUGGGCGUAAAGCGCGCGCAGGUGGUUUAAUAAGUCUGAUGUGAAAGACCACGGCUCAACCGUGGAGGGUCAUUGGAAACUGUUAAACUUGAGUGCAGGAGAGAAAAGUGGAAUUCCUAGUGUAGCGGUGAAAUGCGUAGAGAUUAGGAGGAACACCAGUGGCGAAGGCGGCUUUUUGGCCUGUAACUGACACUGAGGCGCGAAAGCGUGGGGAGCAAACAGGAUUAGAUACCCCAGUAGUCCCUGUCUCUUAUAC
rnacentral:rRNA from 1 species